AACGAACGCUGGCGGCAUGCCUAACACAUGCAAGUCGAACGAGACCUUCGGGUCUAGUGGCGCACGGGUGCGUAACGCGUGGGAACCUGCCCUUAGGGUCGGAAUAACUCCCCGAAAGGGGUGCUAAUACCGGAUAAUGUCUUCGGACCAAAGAUUUAUCGCCUUUGGAUGGGCCCGCGUUGGAUUAGCUAGUUGGUAGGGUAAAAGCCUACCAAGGCGACGAUCCAUAGCUGGUCAGAGAGGAAGAUCAGCCACACUGAGACUGAGACGCGGCCGAGACUCCUACGGGAGGCAGCAGUGGGGGAUAUUGGAAAGUCGGCGAAAGGCUGAUCCAGCACUGCCGCGUGAGUGAUGAAGGCCUUAGGGUUGUAAAGCUCUUUUACCCGGGAUGAUAAUGACAGUACCGGGAGAAUAAGCCCCGGCUAACUCCGUG
rnacentral:rRNA from 1 species